rnacentral:lncRNA from 1 species
AAAUUUUAGGAUAUGACUUGAACUUUUGUGGAUAUGAGUUGAACCUUUAGGAUAUGAAUUGAAAUUUUAGGAUAUGAAUUUAAAUUUUUGGUUUAUGUAUUGGAAUUUUAGUUUAUAAAUUGAAAUUUUAGGAUAUGACUUGAACUUUUGUGGAUAUGAGUUGAAAUUUUUGGUUUAUGAAUUGGAAUUUUAGUUUAUAAAUUGAAAUUUUAGGAUAUGACUUGAACUUUUGUGGAUAUGAGUUGAACCUUUAGGAUAUGAAUUGAAAUUUAGGAUUGCAGGGGGAUUUUAUAGAAGGGGUUGAUGACUUUAUUAGACAUGCAGUGGAACUUCCACCAAGAAUAAUUUAGACACAGUACCUGGCAUAGUGUGCCUUUAAUUGUUGUUCUCAUUAGCAACAAUGACGAUGAGAAGGCAAUGUCAUGUGUUUCAAACAGUGAUGGUGUAAGUAGAAAUUUAACAUUUCCUAAGUAGAUAAAAGAAGAGGUUAUAGAGGAAUUCUCUACUUCAUUUUCCAAGAGGAAAUAGAAAAUUCCUCUAUAACCUCUUGUUUUAUCUGCUUAGGAAAUGUUAAAUUUUUACCUACACCAUCACUGUUUGAAACACAUGUCAUUGCCUUCCCAUCAUCAUUGUCGCUAAUGAGAACAACAAUUGAUCAAAGACACACCCUGUCGGGUAAUGUAUCCAAGUUACUCUCUGUAUCCAAGUUCAUCCCGAGUAAUAGUACCACAAGGAUAAACACCAAAGCCACCAGACAACUUUAUGAUGCCAAUGAAGUAAGAUAAGCUAUUCAAUGAGACUCGUAUUGUAAAGAAGAAGAAAGAGACUGAUCCAGAAAGGUGGGUCGAGGGUCGAGCCUCGACUAUACAUGU